UACGAAGGGGGCUAGCGUUGCUCGGAAUCACUGGGCGUAAAGCGCACGUAGGCGGAUUCUUAAGUCAGGGGUGAAAUCCUGGAGCUCAACUCCAGAACUGCCUUUGAUACUGGGAAUCUCGAGUCCGGGAGAGGUGAGUGGAACUGCGAGUGUAGAGGUGAAAUGCGUAGAUAUCUGGAGGAACACCGGUGGCGAAGGCGGCAUCCUGGACCGACACUGACACUGAGGAGCGAAAGCCAGGGGAGCAAACGGG
rnacentral:rRNA from 1 species